rnacentral:rRNA from 1 species
AUGCACGCUGGCGGCGUGCCUCAUACAUGCAGGUCGAGCGAACAGACGAGGAGCUUGCUCCUCUGACGUUAGCGGCGGACGGGUGAGUAACACGUGGAUAACCUACCUAUAAGACUGGGAUAACUUCGGGAAACCGGAGCUAAUACCGGAUAAUAUAUUGAACCGCAUGGUUCAAUAGUGAAAGACGGUUUUGCUGUCACUUAUAGAUGGAUCCGCGCCGCAUUAGCUAGUUGGUAAGGUAACGGCUUACCAAGGCAACGAUGCGUAGCCGACCUGAGAGGGUGAUCGGCCACACUGGAACUGAGACACGGUCCAGACUCCUACGGGAGGCAGCAGUAGGGAAUCUUCCGCAAUGGGCGAAAGCUUGACGGAGCAACGCCGCGUGAGUGAUGAAGGUCUUCGGAUCGUAAAACUCUGUUAUUAGGGAAGAACAAAUGUGUAAGUAACUAUGCACGUCUUGACGGUACCUAAUCAGAAAGCCACGGCUAACUACGUG